UCUCCUGGAAAACGGGUGGUAAUGCCGGAUGCUCCGACUCCUCGCAUGGGGUGUCGGGAAAGAUUUCAUCGGUAUGGGAUGGGGUCGCGUCCUAUCAGGUAGUCGGCGGGGUAACGGCCCACCGAGCCUACGACGGGUAGCCGGCCUGAGAGGGCGACCGGCCACAUUGGGACUGAGAUACGGCCCAGACUCCUACGGGAGGCAGCAGUGGGGAAUAUUGCACAAUGGGCGCAAGCCUGAUGCAGCGACGCCGCGUGCGGGAUGACGGCCUUCGGGUUGUAAACCGCUUUUGAUCGGGAGCAAGCCUUCGGGUGAGUGUACCUUUCGAAUAAGCACCGGCUAACUACGUGCCAGCAGCCGCGGUAAUACGUAGGGUGCAAGCGUUAUCCGGAAUUAUUGGGCGUAAAGGGCUCGUAGGCGGUUCGUCGCGUCCGGUGUGAAAGUCCAUCGCUUAACGGUGGAUCUGCGCCGGGUACGGGCGGGCUGGAGUGCGGUAGGGGAGACUGGAAUUCCCGGUGUAACGGUGGAAUGUGUAGAUAU
rnacentral:rRNA from 2 species